UACGUUCAUCAUGUUUUUAACAUGACGGAAGUAGGCGAAAGCCGAAGGAACGCAUG
ncrna:unclassified sequences Glutamine riboswitch